CGCAGCGACGCGGGUGGUUUGCCGUCUGUGAUGUUGCGAGAAGUUCACUGAACCUUAUCAUUUAGAGGAAGGAGAAGUCGUAACAAGGUUUCCGUAGGUGAACCUGCGGAAGGAUCAUUG
rnacentral:rRNA from 4 species